rnacentral:lncRNA from 1 species
AAAAUUGCCAUUCAUCUCAAACAAUCAACAUCUUUACAUGCAAAUGCCAUCAAAAGGACUUUUUCAAGGCUUGUAAUGAGGUUGGGCUAACAAGAAAGAAUUGGUUUUUCUGGAAUGCAAAAUCCUUGAUUCAAGAGAGCUAUUAAAAUAUUCAACAUUUAAGCACAACUCUCUUCCUCACCAAUCUCUCUCAUUCCCAACUUUUCCCUUUUCUUUUUCUUUUGCAUUGAGCUCUUCUUCAUGCUUUUCUCCUUUUCUUUUCUUUUUCUCAUGAGUUUUUCUUUUCACAACAUUUAAGCUCAAUGCUUUUCACUUGCUUUUUCAACUUUCCCCCAACAACCCCAAACUUGAACCUUUUCAUCACAUACAAGUUAGCUCAUCCCA